CCGGCUUACCAACCCGAUGCAAACUGCGAAUACCGGAGAAUGUUAUCACGGGAGACACACGGCGGGUGCUAACGUCCGUCGUGAAGAGGGAAACAACCCAGACCGCCAGCUAAGGUCCCAAAGUCAUGGUUAAGUGGGAAACGAUGUGGGAAGGCCCAGACAGCCAGGAUGUUGGCUUAGAAGCAGCCAUCAUUUAAAGAAAGCGUAAUAGCUCACUGGUCGAGUCGGCCUGCGCGGAAGAUGUAACGGGGCUAAACCAUGCACCGAAGCUGCGGCAGCGACACUGUGUGUUGUUGGGUAGGGGAGCGUUCUGUAAGCCUGUGAAGGUGUGUCGUGAGGCAUGCUGGAGGUAUCAGAAGUGCGAAUGCUGACAUAAGUAACGAUAAAGCGGGUGAAAAGCCCGCUCGCCGGAAGACCAAGGGUUCCUGUCCAACGUUAAUCGGGGCAGGGUGAGUCGACCCCUAAGGCGAGGCCGAAAGGCGUAGUCGAUGGGAAACGGGUUAAUAUUCCCGUACUUGGUGUUACUGCGAAGGGGGGACGGAGAAGGCUAUGUUGGCCGGGCGACGGUUGUCCCGGUUUAAGCGUGUAGGUGUGUGUUCCAGGUAAAUCCGGUUCACUUUAACACUGAGGCGUGACGACGAGGCACUACGGUGCUGAAGCAACAAAUGCCCUGCUUCCAGGAAAAGCCUCUAAGCAUCAGGUAACAUCAAAUCGUACCCCAAACCGACACAGGUGGUCAGGUAGAGAAUACCAAGGCGCUUGAGAGAACUCGGGUGAAGGAACUAGGCAAAAUGGUGCCGUAACUUCGGGAGAAGGCACGCUGACACGUAGGUGAAGUGAUUUACUCAUGGAGCUGAAGUCAGUCGAAGAUACCAGCUGGCUGCAACUGUUUAUUAAAAACACAGCACUGUGCAAACACGAAAGUGGACGUAUACGGUGUGACGCCUGCCCGGUGCCGGAAGGUUAAUUGAUGGGGUCAGCGCAAGCGAAGCUCCUGAU
rnacentral:rRNA from 1 species